rnacentral:rRNA from 1 species
AUGUGCGCCUCCACCUCCUCUUACAAUUCCCUACCACCUCCUGCCAUCUCCCUUCUCUGUUCUUCCCAAAUUCAUCUACGAAGUGCUGCUGCUCCAUGGACGCGAGUGCUCGUUCCCGGCAACUCAGAGCACCUCCAUCCAUUCCCUUGCACCAGGAACUUCCUCUCCUCACCAUGGAUCCAUUCAGAGAAGAAAGACCACGAUCCGUCGACCACACACGAAGAAUUCCGCAUGUUCGUGUACACUGUUCGUCGAGUUCAUCACACCGUUGCGUCAAACUCGAGUUGCAUGGAGAUGAAGGUGAUGACUACGACUACUAUGGCGAUCCGUAGGAGUGAGGUCACGUGGACUACAUCGACUGCCUGUGGCUGA